UUUAAAAAACUUCAGCAUUUCUCCCUCCCUAGCCUCUGCGUAAACCUCUGCCUCACACGCCGACGAACCAACCAAGCAACAUCGCAUCUUCCCUCCUGGCCAGCCGACGUCGUUUCUCCCUCCCCGGCCAGCCACCGCCGUCGCUCCAAUCUCCUCCGGCGUCACCUCUUCCCUCCUCUGCUGCUGUCGCCACUUCCCGGCCUCCUCUACCGCCGGCAUGCCUCUUCCCGGCCUCCUCUCCCGCCGUUAAGCUCCUACAGGUUUGUCCUCAAUUUUUUUUACCCAAAUCCCUAAUUUCUGAAUUGUAUCGUUGAAUUUCCAUAUUUGAAAGCUAUAAAUGUUUUUAAACCCUAGGUUAGUUGUGGAUUAUAGGUUAGUUUAUGAGAGAGGAGCUAGGCUGCUAGGUGAGUCUAUACUGGAAUGGAACCUACUGUGUAUUUCGUAUAUUAUGGUUUCUACAACACAUUGUGGUUAUGUUGAGGCUGUGCGAGGUAGCUGGUUACAAGCAGGCAAUUGAUACAAGAGAUGCAUUGGCGAAAUUUGUAUAUGCAAGCUUGUUUGACUGGGUUGUAGAUAAGAUAAAUACAUCGCUUGCAAUGGGAAAGCAACAUACUAAACAAAAGCUGUUAGGUGAAGCUGGACAUAUGCAAUAAACAUUAACUUUUACACGCUAAGUUGAAUAUGAGUUGGAUAGAAUUGACUGGAGAAAAGUUGAAUUUCAAGACAACCAAGCAUGUUUAGAUCUCAUUGAGCAGCUCCAUCACUGAAAUUGAUUGAUUUUCAUGGGCCGGGGUAGAUAAAGGAAAUCUUGAUGAUUCAUUGUUUCAACAAGUUGAUUAUGACAAAGCGGUUAUUGAUCUGG